UGUGUGUGUGUGUGUGUGUAUGUAUGUAUGUGUGUAUAUAUAUAUAUAUACACACACAUACAUACACACACACACACACACA
rnacentral:miRNA from 1 species